CUGACUCCAUUCCGAACUCAGAAGUGAAACGCAGCCGCGCCGAUGGUAGUGUGGCAUUCGCCAUGUGAGAGUAGGUCACCGCCAGGC
rnacentral:rRNA from 1 species